UACAGAGACUGCAGCGUUAUUCGGAUUCACUGGGCGUAAAGCGCGCGUAGGCGGCUUGGCAAGUCGGAUGUGAAAUCCCUCGGCUCAACCAAGGAAGUGCAUCCGAAACUGCUGAGCUUGAGUACUUAAGAGGAUCGCGGAAUUCCCGGUGUAGAGGUGAAAUUCGUAGAUAUCGGGAGGAACACCAGUGGCGAAGGCGGCGAUCUGGGAAGAUACUGACGCUGAGGUGCGAAAGCGUGGGGGAGCAAACAGGG
rnacentral:rRNA from 1 species